GACUUGUCUGAAGACUGGAAAUAUUUUGAAAAUUCAGAGAGAAAAAAAAGGACCCUCUGACUACACCGUACUCUAAGGACAGUUUAUGCAGGUGCUUCCCACACAAGAAGUCACAUGACCACAGAGUGUCAUUUGUCAAAGAACCAAGAACUUGUUCAAAACUCUACAGAGCAUCCAAUCUAUCACGUGGAUAUGCAAUGAUGAGAUGAUGCUGGGUCUGGACGUUGCUGGUCUUUAUCUUUCUUGUUGAAGUCAACCAAAUAUUUCUGGUUCAGUGCACAAUCAAGAUGUACCUCCUUGCUCUCCUGCUUCAGUGGGACCAACUUCUUCCUACAUGUGUUCUCCAUCAGGAGCUGGCUGAGCAGGUUUCUGGAAAUAUAGUCUGCAUAGUAAGAUCAUGCUGGCCCUUUCCCCCAUUCCUACUCCCAAGUACCACUAACUCUACCAGAUCCCAGAUACCCAUGAAGACUUAAUAGAAUUCAUUUCGAUACAUAUAAGGCUGCUGCACAAACCACAAAGAG
ensembl:lncRNA